CCUACGGGAGGCAGCAGUGAGGAAUAUUGGUCAAUGGGCUUACGCCUGAACCAGCCAAGUCGCGUGAGGGAAGACUGCCCGAUGGGUUGUAAACCGCUUUUGUCAGGGAGCAAGUGGCGCUACGUGUAGCGUUAUCGAGAGAACCUGAAGAAAAAGCAUCGGCAAACUCCGUGCCAGCAGCCGCGGUAAUACGGAAGAUGCGAGCGUUAUCCGGAUUUAGUGGGUUUACAGGGGGCGUAGGCGGAAUGCCAAGUCAGCGGUAAAAUCGCGGGGCUCAACCUCGCUCCGCCGUUGAAACUGGCGUUCUUGAGUGUGCGCGCAGUAUGCGUAUUGCGUGGUGUAGCGGU
rnacentral:rRNA from 1 species